GCAAACUUGGUCAUUUAGAGGAAGUAAAAGUCGUAACAAGGUUUCCGUAGGUGAACCUGCGGAAGGAUCAUUAUUGAAUAUUCCUGAUGAGUUGUAGCUGGCUCUUUGGAGCAUGUGCACGCUUGUCUUGAUCUUAUUCAUCCACCUGUGCACAUUUUGUAGUCUUGGGGGCUGAGUAUCGGAUGGAUGUCUAUCCGGAUGUGAGGACUGCUGAGUGCGAAAGCAUACGGCUCUUCUCUGUUUGACCUCACCCUUGAGUACUAUGUAUUCAUAUACCACAUAGUAUGUUGUAGAAUGUGAUCAUUGGGCCUUUGUGCCUAUAAUAAUCAUAUACAACUUUCAGCAACGGAUCUCUUGGCUCUCGCAUCGAUGAAGAACGCAGC
rnacentral:misc_RNA from 1 species